rnacentral:rRNA from 1 species
UGGGGGAUAUUGCACAAUGGGCGAAAGCCUGAUGCAGCGACGCCGCGCGGGGGAUGAAGGCCUUCGGGUUGUAAACUUCUUUUGCUCUGAACAAGGCGCACCAUGGGGUGUGUUGAGUGUAGGGGUUGAUUAGCGCCGGCUAACUACGUGCCAGCAGCCGCGGUAAUACGUAGGGCGCGAGCGUUGUCCGGAAUUAUUGGGCGUAAAGGGCUUGUAGGUGGCUGGUUGCGUCUGUCGUGAAAGCUCAUGGCUUAACUGUGGGUUUGCGGUGGGUACGGACUGGCUUGAGUGCAGGAGGGGAGGAUGAAAUUCCUGGUGUAGCGGUGGAAUGCGCAGAUAUCAGGAGGAAUACCGGUGGCGAAGGCGGGUCUCUGGGCUGUUACUGACACUGAGGAGCGAAAGCAUGGGGAGCGAACAGG